rnacentral:rRNA from 1 species
GCGAUCGGUGGAUGCCUUGGCACCAAGAGCCGAUGAAGGACGUUGUGACCUGCGAUAAGCCCUGGGGAGUUGGUGAGCGAGCUGUGAUCCGGGGAUGUCCGAAUGGGGAAACCUGGAAUGUCCGGAGUAGUGUCCGGUGGCCCUGCCCUGAAUGUAUAGGGGUGUGGGUGGUAACGCGGGGAAGUGAAACAUCUUAGUACCCGUAGGAAGAGAAAACAAGUGUGAUUCCGUGAGUAGUGGCGAGCGAAAGCGGAGGAGGCUAAACCGUGUGUGUGUUCAAGCCGGCAGGUGUUGCAUGUGCGGGGUUGUGGGGGCCUUGUGGUUCUGCUGCCGCAGGAUUGGCCAGUGAGAAAUGUUGCGUGAAGGUGAAGCGUCUGGGAAGGCGUACCGGAGUGGGUGAGAGUCCUGUAACUGUAAGCGUGGCACUGGUGUGGGGUUGCCCCGAGUAGCGUGGGACUCGUGGAAUUUCGCGUGAAUCUGGCGGGACCACCCGUCAAGCCUAAAUACUCCUUGGUGACCGAUAGUGGAUGAGUACCGUGAGGGAAGGGUGAAAAGUACCCCGGGAGGGGAGUGAAAGAGUUCCUGAAACCGGUCGCAUGCAAGCCGUCAGAGCCUGUGUGGUGAUGGCGUGCCUUUUGAAGAAUGAGCCUGCGAGUUAGUGAUGCGUGGCGAGGUUAACCCGUGGUGGGGGAGUCGUAGCGAAAGCGAGUCCGAUAAGGGCGUGAGUCGCGUGUUCUAGACCCGAAGCGGUGUGAUCUAUCCAUGGCCAGGAUGAAGCGUCGGUAAGACGUCGUGGAGGUCCGAACCCACUUCAGUUAAAAAUGGAGGGGAUGAGUUGUGGAUAGGGGUGAAAGGCCAAUCAAACACCGUGAUAGCUGGUUCUCCCCGAAAUGCAUUUAGGUGCAGCGUUGCGUGGUUCUUGUUGGAGGUAGAGCACUGGAUGGUCUAGGGGGCUUAUCGGCUUACCGAAAUCAGCCAAACUCCGAAUGCUGGCAAGUGUAGCGUGGCAGUGAGACGGCGGGGGAUAAGCUUCGUCGUCGAGAGGGAAACAGCCCAGAUCAUCAGCUAAGGCCCCUAAGUGGUGACUCAGUGGGAAAGGAUGUGGAGUUGCGUAGACAACCAGGAGGUUGGCUUGGAAGCAGCCAUCCUUGAAAGAGUGCGUAAUAGCUCACUGGUCAAGUGAUUCCGCGCCGAUAAUGUAGCGGGGCUUAAGUUAUCCGCCGAAGCUGUGGCAACCUGUGUGGUUGGGUAGGGGAGCGUCGUGUCAGUGGUGAAGCUGCCGGGUGACUGUGUGGUGGAGUUGAUGCGAGUGAGAAUGCAGGCAUGAGUAGCGUGUGACGGGUGGGAAUCCCGUCCGCCGAUUAUCCAAGGGUUCCAGGGUCAAGUUUGUCUGCCCUGGGUGAGUCGGGUCCUAAGGCGAGGCCGACAGGCGUAGUCGAUGGGUAACCAGUUGAUAUUCUGGUACCGGCUUGUCACCGUCCGUGUCGAGGUGUGUGAUGCUAAGCAUGUGAGCUUGUCUUGGGAGUGUUUUUGAUGCUUCUGGGGUGGGUGAGUGUGUGAACCGAUCAUGUAGUAGGCAAGCUGCGGAGGGACGCAGUGAGGUAGCUCAUCCCCGGUGAUGGUUGUCCGGGGCUAAGUGUGUGGACUGUCUGGUAGGUAAAUCCGCUGGGCGUGAAGGUUGAGGCAUGAUGGGGAGCCCACGGUUGUGGGUGAGUGAGUGAUCCUGUACUGUCGAGAAAAGCUUCGUGAGCGAGGUGGCGGGUCCGCCCGUACCCUAAACCGACACUGGUGGAUAGGUAGAGUAUACCGAGGCGAUCGAGUGAAUCGUGGUGAAGGAACUCGGCAAAAUGCCCCCGUAACUUUGGGAUAAGGGG